CUGCCGCUGUCCCUCUGGGUUCUACCGCUCAGUCAGGGUUCAUGGAAACAGAACCAAGCAAAGUCGAGUUCCUCCCCCUAAUGACUACAGUAGAGCUGGCCCAAGCAAGAGAUCCACGUGGGAAGGACAAAAAGCAAUGCAAACAGAGAUGGGUUAAGAGACAUAAGCAGCACAUAUGCCAUUGACCAGCAUUCCUCCCAAUUGCUAUUUUCCUGCCACCAAAAAAAAAAAAAGAAGAAGAAGAAGAAAAGAAAAAAAGGUAAGGAUUUGUCUAAGACUUGAGAAGGGAAGGCAAGCUCAGAAUACAUGUCCUAGCACUUCUCUUGUCUAAAGGUUUUGUCCAACUGUCCUACUCUGGUUUCUCAAGCCAUCCCUUUAACAACCAAUGAGCUUUCUUCUACAUUUUCAGGACUUUGAAAUGAACAAAGAAAUGUAAGCAGAAGUGAUGUCUGUCAUACCUGGGUGGAAACUUUAAAAGUUAAUCCACAGCUUGUUCCAUACCCUCUCCCUUCUGCCACAGCAAGGAGAAAGUUCCAGAUGGUGGCUGGUCAAUAAGCCUGGGUACCCAAGUGAGAACAGCAUGUAGCACAUCCCCCAACCAAUUCAUGAUGGACUUAGAGAGUAAGAAAGAAAGAAACUUUGCUGUUUGAAGACACUAAGACUUGGGGGUUGUUACUGAAGCAUAACUUGGCCCACCCUGAUGGAUAUAAUCAUCCUACAUUAUGGAAACCCUAUCCCAGACUUAAACAAGUUAUAUUUUGCCAUUGCCCCCUGUAUUUUCUCCUAGAAGCCUACCUGCACAGUUGACCUCAAUGGGCAGCCUUUCCGGUCCUUAAAGAUUUCAUGGCACCUUAUUCCUAGAAUUCCAUCUCCAAAAUAAUCUACUCACAACAUUCCACUCCUGGGGAAAGCCACUCCAUUUCUCCUUUUCCAAAAGUCCAGCAAAAGUCCCCACUGGAGUUUGAUGGAAAGGUGUGUAAUCUAUCACACAUCCUAUAUUGUUCCCUUUUUCCAGCUCCCAGCCCUGAAGGAUGCAGGGCCCGGCGGGGCCCCCUGGCCACUGAGGGAACAGGAGUCACCCAGUCGCGAUGUUCUGACAGCUUGUCACAUUAUUUUUCCCUGUGGGGGCUCUGCUCCCUCCAUCUAACCUUCUUCUCUGUCCCCUGAGACCAGAGGCCUCUAUACAAGGCCUCCGAGGCAAAGCAAAGCAAGAUUGAUGCCCUACGAAUGGCCAUGCCCGGGAGGGCUCGCGGUUCAAUGCAUAGAGCAGCCCAUUCUUCCCCAUUUCAGGUUCCCACACUGGACACCAAAGCAGGAGCUCAGAGCCAGGGCAGCAAGAAUUCAACCUUUGUUCAUCCUCCAAACACAAAUGAUCCACCACAUUCCCCAAUCUCUCCAACACAGGCCCUCGCACCUCGCCUACUCAAAAUCUUUCUGAAGGUGUCCCAGGCCCUUUGGACAGAGGAGCUGGAAUCAAAAGGUGAUUCAAAAAGUUUAAUUGUAGCAUGAAAAAAAAAAAACCCACUCAUUUAAAUAUUGGCCAAGGAGAAACCCAUCUCCCAUUCCCACACCGACCAAUGCACCUUCCUCCCCACUUGCCCCAUUAAAGCAAGUGGUGUUUGAGGGCUAUAGGCUGGGUAAUUCUGCUACAGAAUCAUCAAUGAGCAUGAAUAUCAAUGGUUUACUUGCAUCCCCAGUCCCCUGAAUGUGCAGGUAAAAGCUUCCUAAAGGCUCAGACCUAAGAGCAGGGCUCUGGGACUUCCAGGGGCUGUCAGGCAAUACAUAUAAAAAUGAUUUCAUCUAAAUUCCCUGAGAGGUUUCAUAGACCAAAGCACCUCUGAAGGACAAAGAGACAACUGUAAAAUUACCCGAAAAUAAAUGCUUCUAAAAUGGUUGGAUGAAAUCCAGGGUAAGGGGAAUUCGAGGGCCAAUAACUAAUCCAUCAGCUCUUUUUUUUUUUUUUAAUCCCACAUCUGGAUUUUUUUUUCCAAGGCCAUAGCCUGUCACCAUGCAGUUUAUCAGCUGUCACUCCAUCUCGAUUCUGAGUGACGUGAGAUCAAUGGUGUAAAACUGCUCUCAGAUCUAUAGAGAAAUUUAUAACACCAGGCUCCACCGUGUCCUGGCUGGGCCUGGGUCCCAGGGUUCUGAGGCAGAGGCUGCCAUGCAGACUUCAUUUCCAUUUCAAAAGUGGAUUGUGACCCACUUAAAGCAAGUGAGUUCAAGCUGUCAGAUGCAAAGGAAGACCCAAGUCCGAAGUCUUCUGCACUUACAGAACAAUGACUUUGAGGGGGAAGAAAAAGACUAGCCAAUGAUUAAAAUUCUCUCUGCCUAGAAAAGGCUCUAGCGACCUGCCUUAAUUUCUUUUAAGUCAUGUGGGAUUUAUUAAUAACCCUAAAUUUGUAGCAACAUGUUUUAGGCUCUGAGACCAGUUAAUCCAUCCAGUUUAUGUAACUAUGGAACUCCUGCAUGUAGUUUAGGCACAGAGUUGUGGUCUUCACUGCAGGUUUGCUUCAUUACCCCCAACCUCUUUUUCCCCCAGGAACUCUGUAAUCUCUUCUAAUUCUGCCUCAAAGUGCCCAAGCACCAUAAAUAAGGUCGUAGGAACCCAGGCCACAUCCCAUAUCCCACACCCUCCAGCCAAAAGGCUCCAGGGAAAUUUUUAAUUUCUCCCUCGAACACAGUGAAUCCUUGGGGUGAUAAGGGAAACACCCCUGGGCCAUGGACAGCUGUAGAACAUCCCACUUCCACCCCACCAUCAUUCGUCAAGGACAGAUGUCCAACAGAAGAUACACCGAGGUGCCACUGGAUUUGCUCGUGGUUGAACCCAGAGAAGCCUCAACUUGCGAGAAAAAGUAAAUCCUCUCUCCUACCACUGUCCACCUGCAUUCUUCUUGAAACUAAACUCAAAAGAAGGCUCCUAGGAGGAACUGCAUUCUCCAGAGGACUGGUGAUGGCUGGAGAACACCAACCAGCAACUCCUACACCGCUUGCUUCAGCUCCUGGUUGGAGGGAGAUGGGACUCAUAGUAGGAAACACAGUCCUCGGGCUCAGCCCAUAGAUGAACAAGUGUCAUCAGAGUGCACUCUUCUCUCCCCUUAGUCUCUUGGGAUUUGGCCUUACCGGUCACUGACUAUUCACUCUUCCCUAAACAGUUACUUGAGAGAAUUAUCCUUGGCCUUCCUUCCAGGUCAAAGUUCCACCAGCGCAGGCUUCUUUCUCCACUUCCCUUUUCCUGCACCUGAUUUUCUUUCACUUUACUCUGGUGAGCCUAUUUAUGUUGGGGUGACAUCCUUCAACACUCUCCAUUGCCUUAAGGGUAAAACCCAAAUGCCUUAACAAGAUACACAAAGCACCCACCUGUUCACCCCGGCUUUCAUCACCUGUCUGUACUCCCUAGGUCCUUUCAUAGAGCCUUACACCCCAGCUCUGAGACCUUUGUGUCACUUGCUGUUCCUCCUGCAAGGAAUGCUUUUUUCAUCUCCACCCCUACCUUCUCCCUUUCUACCCCUAGUUAAUUUCUCUUCAUCCUUCAAAACUCAACUCAGAUGUCACCCAAAAGCUUUCCCUGAGUACUCCCAUUUCCCAGCACAACUGGGCCUCCCUCCUCUGGGCCACGGUCAGGCAGAACAUACCUGUACCCCUGUUCUUAGGCCCUGCGCCACAUGUCCAGGUAUUCCUCUUCCUCAAGAAGCCACCUGUGAUCAGCAGCGGUGUGGGCCUUCCUUACAGCACUUCUCACAUGCAUUCGCUGUCUGAUUACUCUUCUAUCUCCCCAUCCUCAGGGCUGGCAGGAUCUAGCUUUCUAUUUCAGAACAGUCUUACAUUUAUAGAAAAAUUGUAGUGCUGGUCCAGAGAGUUCCCAUAACCCCAUGUCCCCUGUCAUUAACAUCUUACUCUGGCACUUUUGUUACAAUUAAUAGCUAAUAUUGUUAUUAUCUAAAGCCCACAUUUUAUUCAGAUUUCCUUUGUUAUUCUCUGAAGUCCUUUUUCUGUGCCACAAUACCACAUUACAUUUAGUCAUCAUGUCUCUUUAAGCUCUUGCUGUGGCAGUUUCUCAGAUUUUCCUUGUUUUUGAUUAUUUUGAUAGUUUUGAGGCAUACCGGUCAGUUUUUGCAAAAUGUCAUCUUUCAGUUUGGUUUUAUCUGAUGUUUUUCUCAUUAUGAGACUGAAGUGCUGCGGUCUUGAGGAAGAUCACAGAGAUAAAGUGCCAUUUUCAUCACAUCAUACCUAGGGUGCAUACUAUCAACAUGACCUAUCACUGUUGAUAUUGACCUUGAGCACCUGACCAAGGGAGUGAUUGACAGCUUUCUCCAUGUAAAGUUAGUCUUUUUCUCUCCACUCCAUACCGUAUUCUUUGGAAGAAAGUCACAAUCCACAUAGUCCAUACUUAGAGAGUGGGAAAUUAUGAUCCACUUUUAUGUGGGCACAGAAUCUACUACGUAAGUUCUUCAAUGGUCUUCCCUGUGGUAGAAUUGUCUCCUUUCCCAUUUAUUUAUUUGAUCAUUUAUUUGUAUCAGUAUGGAUACUUUAUUUUUUAAUCUCUGUUUCCACAGCAUUUAUCACAAAGUCUGGAAUUUAGUAAGUUCUCAAUAAUGUUGGUUGAGAGAAUGAAGGUAUUACGGACUGACCUCCGAAAAUCCGUAAGUUAAAGGUCUAACUCCUGGGACAACAGACUGACUGUAUUUAGAAACAGAGCCUUUAAACAGAUAAUUAAGAUUAAAUGAGAUCAUAAGGGUGGACUCUAAUCCAGUACGACUGGUGUCCCUUUAAGAAAAGGAAGAGAUACCAGGGGGCUCAGCACACAGGGAAAAGCCCAUAUGAGGACACAGAGAGAAGGCGGCCAUCUGCAAGCCAAGAAGAGAGGUCUCAGGAGAAAUCAACCCUGUGGCACCUCGAUCUUGGACUUCGUGUCUCCAGAACUGUGAGAAAAUAAAUUGUUGUUGUUUAAAUCA